CUAUUCCUGUACUAUCCUGUAACAGAACUGUGGGGACACAGGCAGAGAGCGUGAGCCGGGAAUGGAAAGACCGGUACAAGCGAGGUAGGAGAAGAGUUGGCAAAUCCGCUCUUUAAUCUGAAGACGUGAUGUGGACUGAAAAUAAGUAGGGAAGCACGUGAGCUGACUGUCAAGAAAAGCCGCUAUUGUUUGCAGGAUACCCGUACCGUAAACCGACACAGGUGGAUGAGGAGAGAAUCCUAAGGCCGACGGGAGAAGCAUUGUUAAGGAACUCGGCAAAAUGACUCCGUAACUUCGGGAGAAGGAGUGCCAGUAAGAUGGCCGCAGAGAAUUGGCCCAAGCAACUGUUUAGCAAAAACACAGGUCUAUGCAAAACCGAAAGGUGAGGUAUAUGGGCUGACGCCUGCCCGGUGCUGGAAGGUUAAGGGGAGAGGUUAGCGCAAGCGAAGCUUUGAACUUAAGCCCCAGUAAACGGCGGCCGUAACGAUAACGGUCCUAAGGUAGCGAAAUUCCUUGUCGGGUAAGUUCCGACCCGCACGAAAGGCGUAAUGAUUUGGGCACUGUCUCAACAAUGCACCCGGUGAAAUUGAAAUACCAGUGAAGAUGCUGGUUACCUGCGCCAGGACGGAAAGACCCCAUGGAGCUUUACUCCAGCUUGAUACUGGGAUUCGGUAUUGCAUGUACAGGAUAGGUGGGAGGCUAGGAAAUGGUAACGCCAGUUGCCAUGGAGCCAAUGUUGGGAUACCACCCUUGCAGUACUGGGUUUCUAACCAGCAGCCGUGAUCCGGCUGGGGGACAAUGUCAGGUGGGGAGUUUGACUGGGGCGGUCGCCUCCGAAAGGGUAUCGGAGGCGCUCAAAGGUUCCCUCAGAAUGGUUGGAAACCAUUCGAAGAGUGCAAAGGCAGAAGGGAGCUUGACUGCGACACCGACGGGUGGAGCAGGUACGAAAGUAGGACUUAGUGAUCCGGUGGUAUAAAGUGGGAUUGCCAUCGCUCAACGGAUAAAAGCUACCCUGGGAUAACAGGCUUAUCACUCCCAAGAGUUCACAUCGACGGAGUGGUUUGGCACCUCGAUGUCGGCUCAUCGCAUCCUGGGGCUGAAGUAGGUCCCAAGGGUUGGGCUGUUCGCCCAUUAAAGCGGUACGCGAGCUGGGCUCAGAACGUCGUGAGACAGUUCGGUCCCUAUCCGGCGUGGGCGUAAGAUAUUUGAGAGGAGCUGUCCUUAGUACGAGAGGACCGGGAUGGACUGGCCGCUGGUGUAUCUGUUGUCUUACCAAAGGCAUAGCAGAGUAGCCAAGCCGGGAAGGGAUAAACGCUGAAGGCAUCUAAGCGUGAAGCCCCCCUCAAGAUGAGAUAUCUCAUAACGUCAAGUUAGUAAGACCCCUUGAAGACGACGAGGUAGAUAGGGCAGAGGUGGAAGUGUGGUAACACAUGGAGCUGACUGUUACUAAUAGGUCGAGGGCAUAACU
rnacentral:rRNA from 1 species